AUGCCUAUUCUGUGGCACAGGGGUGAAGCUAGAAAAGGAAGGGAAGGAAAAUGCUUGGAGUUUACACCACAGGAGAGACAUGCUAGCCAGCCAAGUGCUGAUAAUUACCACCACAUAGGGAGUGACCACAUAGGUCAUCUUCAUGACACAGGUCUGCACCCUGCCCUGGCCCCCUGCAAGGCUCAGCUCGUCUGUAAAUGGAGAAGCAGGAGGAUGCAGAACCACAGACCUCAAACUUCCCUGAGAUCCAGCAAAUUAGGAUUUGUGCUAAACCUCCUCCCACCUCAGAGCAUAGCACUGGGGAAAAGCGAAACCUCCACUCUGGAGACAGAAGCCCCAGGAACCUCCCCCACAGGCAGGGAAGGCUCGGGCCCUUGGAAAUAGAGCGGAUCAGCCAAGGAGGCAGCCGGGGAGCCAGCAAGUGGCUCCUUAAGGCUGUGCGCUUCACGACCUAGUUGUCAACAGCCUAACAAGGCUAGGCUUCAGCCGCUAUCCUCCCAGGAUUGGCUCCCAGUCCCCACCGCUGUGCUCAAGGGCUGGAUGGGAAACUACAAUGCGAUGACUCCUUUCUUUUCAUCUUCUUCUUAAGGAAAACAACUCUCAACUCCCCGCGGAGCACAUUCCUUCACUGUGAAGUCUUCCCGAACCCAUCUCCCCCCGUCUUUCAGAAAGAAGAGAGCGGGGCUUGGCUGCCUCUUCAGUGAGAUUUCUAAAAAAGUCGCUGCUGAUGGCGGCAGUCGGAGAACAUGAGGGGGAAGAAGAGAGCUGACGCAAUCUACAUUUAUUAGCAGUGAGGGAAAUUAAUAAGGCAUACCAGUGCAAGGCCCACUCCAUAGACCCGGGAAGCCCCAGGGACCGCUGGAAAUCUGGUGGUCUCCGCCCUGGCGGAGUCUUCAAAAUACCUCAUCAGUUGCAAUCCUAGAUUGCCACAGCUGGAACGAGGCUUGGUCAUGGCCAUCAUCUAACGUCCCAAGGACAAAUGCUUUUUAUCACGCAUGCCAAAUCUAAUUGAUUGGUAGGGGUGGCCUGAAUCUCUAUGUUGAAAAGGAUUCUGAGGUAUCUGGGUCCCUUGGGAGAGGGGGACUGUAAUUGAUUGGCAGAUGUCUGCCAUGGGUGAAAGUGGAGGAGUGGCAGUGUUCACACCAUACGCUGCUGGCCAUGCCUCCCACAUUAUUGAUGGGGGAGACUGAGUCCCAGAGCCCAUCUUGUAUAAGGGUUUCCCCCCAGUCUUCUUGGGAAGCCAGCUGCUUUGGAUAAAUGGCACCCAGUCCUGACCUCGAGGCUACAGAUGUCAGAUCCAAGGGCUGUCUCCAGAAGCAAAGGCAACUAACAGCUUGGGUGAGCUGGGUUAAUUGCCAGUUUCCUGAAAACAACUGGUAGAUGCAGUUAUCACCUUGAACUGAUCGGUUGGCUCAACAGUUGCAGGUGACAUGGCAGGCCUUUACAGUCGACCUAAGACUAGUGGCCAGUUUGGUUAGGACAGGAUCUGUGGGAAAGAUUAACUAAAUAUUUGGGCACAGGACAAUAAAACCCCCAAAUAGUCAAUGAAGUUGCCCA
rnacentral:lncRNA from 1 species